rnacentral:rRNA from 1 species
UACGUAGGGUGCGAGCGUUAAUCGGAAUUACUGGGCGUAAAGGGCGCGUAGGCGGCACGGCAAGUCGGGGAGUGAAAGGCCUGGGCUCAACCGAGGAACUGCUUUCGAGACUGCCGAGCUAGAGUGCGGAAGGGGCAACUGGAAUUCCCAGUGUAGCGGUGAAAUGCGUAGAUAUUGGGAAGAACACCUGAGGCGAAGGCGGGUUGCUGGGCCGACACUGACGCUGAGGCGCGAAAGCCAGGGGAGCAAAGCGG